AUUUAGUGCCAAUACCUUCUCCACUGAUGAAACCAGCGACCGUCGAGACCAUUUGCCUCCUCUUAAAGAGCUGAUCAUCUUGGGUUUGUUGUUUCGGUACAAAAAUCAUGGCUGGUUAUCCUUAACCUACCUCUGUGGAUGCAAAAAUGUGUCAAGCGGAAGAAGCCCUAAGUGCCCUUUACAGCCCGGAAGUUAACUGUAAUCAAACAUCUAGGAAUCUUCUUUACGCCGUCCGCGGAGAACUUUCUCGGAGAAGAAUGGUUGAAGAAGCUGGGGACGGCGAUGACGGUUUACAUGGUCACCGUAAAUCUACCCAACAAAAGUUAUCUACGGUUCAUCGGCCAGCGAUUGAGACACUGAUGACAGGUGACGGCUAAGCAUGGUGAUUUUGUUGCGAUAGUCACCCGGAGCGGCGGUUACGACAAAUUAGGGCUUUGCAUCUCUGGUAAGGCUUUUUGUUGAUUCGAGUU